rnacentral:rRNA from 1 species
UGCGCAGGCGGUUGUGCAAGACCGAUGUGAGAUCCCCGGGCUUAACCUGGGAAUUGCAUUGGUGACUGCACGGCUAGAGUGUGUCAGAGGGGGGUAGAAUUCCACGUGUAGCAGUGAAAUGCGUAGAGAUGUGGAGGAAUACCGAUGGCGAAGGCAGCCCCCUGGGAUAACACCGACGCUCAUGCACGAAAGCGUGGGGAGCAAACA